rnacentral:rRNA from 1 species
AGGAUCAUUACAGUGACCCCGGUCUAACCACCGGGAUGUUCAUAACCCUUUGUUGUCCGACUCUGUUGCCUCCGGGGCGACCCUGCCUUCGGGCGGGGGCUCCGGGUGGACACUUCAAACUCUUGCGUAACUUUGCAGUCUGAGUAAACUUAAUUAAUAAAUUAAAACUUUUAACAACGGAUCUCUUGGUUCUGGCAUCGAUGAAGAACGCAGCGAAAUGCGAUAAGUAAUGUGAAUUGCAGAAUUCAGUGAAUCAUCGAAUCUUUGAACGCACAUUGCGCCCCCUGGUAUUCCGGGGGGCAUGCCUGUUCGAGCGUCAUUUCACCACUCAAGCCUCGCUUGGUAUUGGGCAACGCGGUCCGCCGCGUGCCUCAAAUCGACCGGCUGGGUCUUCUGUCCCCUAAGCGUUGUGGAAACUAUUCGCUAAAGGGUGCUCGGGAGGCUACGCCGUAAAACAAACCCAUUUCUAAGGUUGACCUCGGAUCAGGUAGGGAUACCCGCUGAACUUAAGCAUAUCAAUAAGCGGAGGAAAAGAAACCAACAGGGAUUGCUCUAGUAACGGCGAGUGAAGCAGCAAUAGCUCAAAUUUGAAAUCUGGCGUCUUCGACGUCCGAGUUGUAAUUUGUAGAGGAUGCUUCUGAGUAACCACCGACCUAAGUUCCUUGGAACAGGACGUCAUAGAGGGUGAGAAUCCCGUAUGCGGUCGGAAAGGUGCUCUAUACGUAGCUCCUUCGACGAGUCGAGUUGUUUGGGAAUGCAGCUCUAAAUGGGAGGUAAAUUUCUUCUAAAGCUAAAUAUUGGCCAGAGACCGAUAGCGCACAAGUAGAGUGAUCGAAAGAUGAAAAGCACUUUGGAAAGAGAGUUAAAAAGCACGUGAAAUUGUUAAAAGGGAAGGGAUUGCAACCAGACUUGCUCGCGGUGUUCCGCCGGUCUUCUGACCGGUCUACUCGCCGCGUUGCAGGCCAGCAUCGUCUGGUGCCGCUGGAUAAGACUUGAGGAAUGUAGCUCCCUCGGGAGUGUUAUAGCCUCUUGUGAUGCAGCGAGCGCCGGGCGAGGUCCGCGCUUCG